UACGUAGGGAGCAAGCGUUGUCCGGAAUCAUUGGGCGUAAAGCGCGCGUAGGUGGCUUCGUAAGUCCGUUGUGAAAGUCAAAGGCUCAACCUUUGAAAGCCGAUGGAUACUGCGGAGCUAGAGUACGGAAGAGGCGAGUGGAAUUCCUGGUGUAGCGGUGGAAUGCGCAGAUAUCAGGAGGAACACCGGUGGCGAAGGCGGAUCUCUGGGCCUUGCCUGACGCUGAGGCGCGAAAGCUAGGGGAGCGAACAGG
rnacentral:rRNA from 1 species